rnacentral:rRNA from 1 species
GGGUGAGUAACACGUAUCCAACCUGCCGACAACACUGGGAUAGCCUUUCGAAAGAAAGAUUAAUACCGGAUGGCAUAGUUUUCCCGCAUGGGAUAAUUAUUAAAGAAUUUCGGUUGUCGAUGGGGAUGCGUUCCAUUAGGCAGUUGGCGGGGUAACGGCCCACCAAACCUACGAUGGAUAGGGGUUCUGAGAGGAAGGUCCCCCACAUUGGAACUGAGACACGGUCCAAACUCCUACGGGAGGCAGCAGUGAGGAAUAUUGGUCAAUGGACGAGAGUCUGAACCAGCCAAGUAGCGUGAAGGAUGACUGCCCUAUGGGUUGUAAACUUCUUUUAUACGGGAAUAAAGUGAGCCACGUGUGGCUUUUUGUAUGUACCGUAUGAAUAAGGAUCGGCUAACUCCGUGCCAGCAGCCGCGGUAAUAC